GGGGUUGGGCUUGGUGGUAGAGCGCUUGCCUAGCAUGUGUGAGGCCCUGGGUUCAAUCCCCAGCGCCACA
rnacentral:tRNA from 1 species